UCCAGGUAAACCACGGUGGCGCAUCCCCUCUCAGAUUGAGCCGCUCGCCCCCGCAGCCGCCACCGCCACGAACGCCGCAUGCCCACGUCGUCCCCUCGCCUCCUCGUCGCAGGACGCCGACCAAGAUGCGCUCGCUGCCGAGGUCGUCCGAGUGGAGCAGAGGACCAACGCUCGCUGCCGAGGUCGUCCGAGUGGACCGGAUCCCUUGUCGGGUGCUCGACGAGCAGCGCAACGGGGUCCAGAGGAUCAACGCCGAGGUCAGUUCCGCAUCCAUCGGAUCUAGUAGUUCAGUGAUGAGGUCAAUACCCCUACGUGUUGGUCGGAUCUAGCUCGGUGAUGAGUUCUUAUUCAGGUCUUUAGAUGGGAGGGGAAGGCAGAGGCGGAUACGAUGCAGGACUCAUUAGGAUGGAGAAAGGGUGCAGCUGCUGCUCAAUGCGAAAAUAGAGGUCGAAUUCGGGUUGUAGUCUCUCGCAUGGCAUGAACAGGACAGAUAUUGGGGACGAGCUUUGUCGGGACGUGCAAAGGCUGCCGUGUAGCAGGUUUGUGGAGGUGAUGGUGCCAGUCUUGUGAAGGGAUGCUUGGAGAUGCGUGUGGCACUGAUAUAGAAUGACCUCGUCAAUCGAUGGCCUAUUGACUCCUACAUCUGGAGAUGUGUCAAUAAUCCCAAAGAGCAGAUUGCCAUUGUAGACGCUCAAUACAUGGUCCAUUGUGCAGUUCCCAUGCUCCAGGGCAAGGGUGACAAAGAAAAGCCAGGAGGCCGUUUUGAGAACGGAUGGUCCACCUUAAAAGUAACAUCACGAGGCAUUGUAGUCAUUGGUGAAGAAUGAUAAGGACUUGUGAUGGUGUCUCAUGAGUGAAGAGAAAAUAUUUACUGAUAUGUAUGUGGGGAAUUAGAGACAUUGCGAGGACCAGCAUUAAGUAAGGCGGAAUUGGUUUCGAAACUACAAGCUUGUGAGCAAGCGAGGCAAGUGCUCGAAGGAACGUUCAAUGGCAUGGUGCAAGAGGUGUUAGAAAUUAAGUGUAUUGUAUCUGGUAUAUUAGUAAGUGAUAGUUCUCAUGGAAGCCAACUUGAAGGUUCUUAAAGGAUAUUUUAAUGUAUGUCAGAAUAUUGGUAUUUUUAUUAAUAAAAGAGGCUAUGAUCCUUUCAAACCA